GACGAACGCUGGCGGCGUGCUUAACACAUGCAAGUCGAACGGAGGCCCUGCUUUUGUGGGGUGCUCGAGUGGCGAACGGGUGAGUAACACGUGAGUAACCUGCCCUUGACUUUGGGAUAACUUCAGGAAACUGGGGCUAAUACCGGAUAGGAGCUCCUGCUGCAUGGUGGGGGUUGGAAAGUUUCGGCGGUUGGGGAUGGACUCGCGGCUUAUCAGCUUGUUGGUGGGGUAGUGGCUUACCAAGGCUUUGACGGGUAGCCGGCCUGAGAGGGUGACCGGCCACAUUGGGACUGAGAUACGGCCCAGACUCCUACGGGAGGCAGCAGUGGGGAAUAUUGCACAAUGGGCGGAAGCCUGAUGCAGCAACGCCGCGUGCGGGAUGACGGCCUUCGGGUUGUAAACCGCUUUCGCCUGUGACGAAGCGUGAGUGACGGUAAUGGGUAAAGAAGCACCGGCUAACUACGUG
rnacentral:rRNA from 1 species